UACAGAGGGUGCGAGUGUUGUCCGGAAUCACUGGGCGUAAAGGGCGCGUAGGCGGCUUGAUAAGCGUGCGGUGAAAGCCCGGGGCUCAACCCCGGGUCGGCCGUGCGAACUGUCGAGCUGGAGCACUGUAGAGGCAGGUGGAAUUCCGGGUGUAGCGGUGGAAUGCGUAGAGAUCCGGAAGAACACCGGUGGCGAAGGCGGCCUGCUGGGCAGUGGCUGACGCUGAGGCGCGACAGCGUGGGGAGCAAACAGG
rnacentral:rRNA from 1 species